CUGAUUGGACCCUUCAAAGCACAGCAAUCGCUUUUGAUUCAUGUCUGUGUUUGUUCUAAAAAAACCACCCACUCCUUCAUUAGACAUCACUUCCCGAGUGAGGAUUUGCUUCUUAAAUUUUCAUUACAUGCAAUAUGGCCUGAGGACUCACUCAGACACACUAAUACCACACACAUAAGAGCAUCGAGACUGACUCCUCUGUCACAGUGAGAAACUGGGCGUGAAAGUGUUUAUCUGGGGCUUUGGGAUUAUCAAUGAGCAAAUUACCUCUGAUCCAGCAGAGGGUCUCAGACAGACUGUGUGCGUCUGCCAGGGACUGGAGACUCCCUGUAAGGCUUAGGAAGAAUGGGAGAAACCAGGGACAAAUGAUUGGACUUUAUUUUGAUGUAGCAUGUAGUCUGUUCUUAACGGCUCAUUACUGAUACUUCUUUUUGAUAUGAGGCCCCUCCCCUUUUCCUUUGGAGUAUCAGUUUGACUGUAUUUUGUUAGAGAGUGGUGGCUCAUGCUAAAAGAGGCAGAUAGCUACUCCCAGGAGGAUUCAUUGCUCCUUCAGCCCUUCAUUGCUUUGCCUGGGUGACUUUUCCACCAGCUGCACCCAUGACUCUCCAGAAAUACCUGCUCAAUGGAUUUGGACUUUAUUAUUUCUUGGCAUUGUUGACACUUCUUUUGACACAAGCUGAGGGGCUGCAGUGUUAUGCAGCCCCUCAUUAACAUUGUGCAUAACCAGAGGUACGUGGACGUAGGCUGUUCCAGCCCCGAAGUCAUCACCUGCUCUCACUCCCACAAGGGCUUCAAGCAUCGCUUCUGCAUCAGAACAGAAAGUGUUGCACUGGGAGUCAUGCUGACUAGCGGCUGCGCGACAGCCCGACACUGCCACACGGAGGAGCUUCCGGGAGUCAACAUCCACUGCUGCGCCUCUGAUCUGUGCAACAGGGCCACCCACUGGCGGACAACCACACUGCUGCCUAUCUGCUCAUUGACGCUUAAUCUGUUGUUUCACAGGUUGCUACUGUGGACAAAAUAACUUUGAACUUCACCACAAAAUCACGGCAGCUACGCUUCCGAUGCAAGACAUACAUACAGGAGGGAACUUGAAAAAAUAACUAUAAAAUAUGUUAACCCUGGAGUAUUAUGUGUGGAUAAAACCAAACCUUCACGUAUCACAUCUGAUCUUCAGUUUCAUUUUUUAAAUAAUUAAAUCAUCAUGCAAAAAUAAAUAAAUUAAAUUUACUGUAAUCCUCACAUGGACUUUUUUCAUGGCCAUGCUGUUGCAUUAAGAAACAAAUUCUGAAGAAAAAAACUUUUCUCAGAAUUUAUUUAUUAUUUAUUUAUUAUGUUAUAUUUUGAUAGAUUUUUUUAUUAUUAUUUCUUUUAACCAAAUGGCCUCAAACUGAUGUACCUACUACUGUAUUAAGUCUAUUCCACUAAAGUACAGUGUCCUAUCAGCACAUUCACUUUUGACAACCAAGAAAGUGUUGAAAUACUUAUUGUCUUCAUUUUGAAUAUUCAUAUAAGACAUAUUGUACUAUAUUGCAAAAGAUUUUUGUAAAAAAUUUUAAGCAAAAUUCCAUUAUUGAAUGAGAAGCUUACAGUAAAACAUUGUCUUAUCUCGAUUAGAAUUAGCCUACCUGUACCUUGAUUUUUCUUCUUCUUCCUCCUCUUCUUCUUCUUCUUCUUACUUAUAUUUUUUUACCUGCUGGAUUGGAUUUCAUGGUUAGUUCUAGAUUUAUGUAAUGUCCGUAGAAAAGAAGGUAUUUUUAUUGAAUGAGUGGGUGCUUGGUUAGUGUAACUCAGCUCUUCAGCUAGCAUUAAUAGUGGUUCUACAAUCUUCCUCGUUAACCACGAAGGAAUUACCAACUGACAAAACAAAGACACUUCAAACUCCAUAAAAUCUGACAGGAACGCAACAGAGCCUGUGUCAGGCAGGAUCUGAAACACUGCGGGAGAUAUGAAACCUGUUUUCUUUAUUUCCAAACUUCUAAAAGUUCUACCAUUAGAAGAGUAUGGAGAUAGAAUUGUUGCAUAAUUCCAAAUAAAUAGCUCAAAAUCCACUAAUACAUCUUAGAGAUUCACAAACAUGAAUUAAUAAAAUGAGAUUUGUAAAUUAAAAACAUAUUCACAAAUAUAUAUUUUUUAUUGCACAAACACAAUUUUGCCUGGCAUACAUUUGUGGAUUUUGAAAUAUUUGUAGCUUCGAGACAAAGUGUGCUGCAGGAGUCCUGAAAAGUGAAGCCAAAGUGUCUCAGUCAGACCCAGAUGACUGGGUCAUAAACCCCGCCCUCUCCUUGUAAUGUAAUAGGACCUGAGACAAACUGGACAAUCUAAUAACAUUCCAUAUACAUUUCAAUAAUAUAAGGAAAUAUAAGGGCCAUAAAAACUGAUACAGUAAAAGAUGUUUAAAAAUGGAUUUCGUUAGACAAUUAGACUGUAUCAAGCCAAGACACAGUUUUAUUUUUUAUGUGCCUUUGAAAAUGCUGAAGAAAAUGCUUUAAACGCACUGCUAGGUGGUUGUGAUGCAACAACAUACACAACAACCAAAUUCUGCAACAUAUAAUAAUUGCUAAUAAUAGUGUUCACCGUCUGUUUGAUUACGUCUUUAAAGGGGGGGUGAAAUGCUAUUUCAUGCAUACUGAGUUUUUUUACACUGUUAAAGAGUUGGAUUCCCAUGCUAAACAUUCAAAAAUUAAGUUGUAUGUUUGAAGGAGUAUUUCUGUUCCAAAAAUACUCCUUCCGGUUUGUCACAAGUUUCGGAAAAGUUUUUUUU
rnacentral:lncRNA from 1 species